UUGGAGAGUUGAUCCUGGCUCAGGAUGAACGCUGGCGGCGUGCCUAAUACAUGCAAGUCGAGCGAACAGAUAAGGAGCUUGCUCCUUUGACGUUAGCGGCGGACGGGUGAGUAACACGUGGAUAACCUACCUAUAAGACUGGGAUAACUUCGGGAAACCGGAGCUAAUACCGGAUAACAUAUUGAACCGCAUGGUUCAAUAGUGAAAGGCGGCUUUGCUGUCACUUAUAGAUGGAUCCGCGCCGUAUUAGCUAGUUGGUAAGGUAACGGCUUACCAAGGCAACGAUACGUAGCCGACCUGAGAGGGUGAUCGGCCACACUGGAACUGAGACACGGUCCAGACUCCUACGGGAGGCAGCAGUAGGGAAUCUUCCGCAAUGGGCGAAAGCCUGACGGAGCAACGCCGCGUGAGUGAUGAAGGUCUUCGGAUCGUAAAACUCUGUUAUCAGGGAAGAACAAAUGUGUAAGUAACUGUGCACAUCUUGACGGUACCUGAUCAGAAAGCCACGGCUAACUACGUGCCAGCAGCCGCGGUAAU
rnacentral:rRNA from 1 species